rnacentral:rRNA from 1 species
GACGAACGCUGGCGGCGUGCUUAACACAUGCAAGUCGAACGGAAAGGCCCUGCUUUUGUGGGGUGCUCGAGUGGCGAACGGGUGAGUAACACGUGAGUAACCUGCCCUUGACUUUGGGAUAACUUCAGGAAACUGGGGCUAAUACCGGAUAGGAGCUCCUGCUGCAUGGUGGGGGUUGGAAAGUUUCGGCGGUUGGGGAUGGACUCGCGGCUUAUCAGCUUGUUGGUGGGGUAGUGGCUUACCAAGGCUUUGACGGGUAGCCGGCCUGAGAGGGUGACCGGCCACAUUGGGACUGAGAUACGGCCCAGACUCCUACGGGAGGCAGCAGUGGGGAAUAUUGCACAAUGGGCGGAAGCCUGAUGCAGCAACGCCGCGUGCGGGAUGACGGCCUUCGGGUUGUAAACCGCUUUCGCCUGUGACGAAGCGUGAGUGACGGUAAUGGGUAAAGAAGCACCGGCUAACUACGUGCCAGCAGCCGCGGUGAUACGUAGGGUGCGAGCGUUGUCCGGAUUUAUUGGGCGUAAAGGGCUCGUAGGUGGUUGAUCGCGUCGGAAGUGUAAUCUUGGGGCUUAACCCUGAGCGUGCUUUCGAUACGGGUUGACUUGAGGAAGGUAGGGGAGAAUGGAAUUCCUGGUGGAGCGGUGGAAUGCGCAGAUAUCAGGAGGAACACCAGUGGCGAAGGCGGUUCUCUGGGCCUUUCCUGACGCUGAGGAGCGAAAGCGUGGGGAGCGAACAGGCUUAGAUACCCUGGUAGUCCACGCUGUAAACGGUGGGUACUAGGUGUGGGGUCCAUUCCACGGGUUCCGUGCCGUAGCUAACGCUUUAAGUACCCCGCCUGGGGAGUACGGCCGCAAGGCUAAAACUCAAAGGAAUUGACGGGGCCCCGCACAAGCGGCGGAGCAUGCGGAUUAAUUCGAUGCAACGCGUAGAACCUUACCUGGGUUUGACAUGGAUCGGGAGUGCUCAGAGAUGGGUGUGCCUCUUUUGGGGUCGGUUCACAGGUGGUGCAUGGCUGUCGUCAGCUUGUGUCGUGAGAUGUUGGGUUAAGUCCCGCAACGAGCGCAACCCUUGUUCACUGUUGCCAGCACGUUAUGGUGGGGACUCAGUGGAGACCGCCGGGGUCAACUCGGAGGAAGGUGGGGAUGACGUCAAGUCAUCAUGCCCCUUAUGUCCAGGGCUUCACGCAUGCUACAAUGGCUGGUACAGAGAGUGGCGAGCCUGUGAGGGUGAGCGAAUCUCGGAAAGCCGGUCUCAGUUCGGAUUGGGGGCUGCAACUCGACCUCAUGAAGUCGGAGUCGCUAGUAAUCGCAGAUCAGCAACGCUGCGGUGAAUACGUUCCCGGG